rnacentral:rRNA from 1 species
GACGUAGGGGGCCAGCGUUGUCCGGAUUUAUUGGGCGUAAAGAGUUCGUAGGUGGUUUGUUAAGUCUGAUGUUAAAGAUCGGGGCCCAACCCCGGGAGUGCAUUGGAUACUGGCAGACUCGAGUACGGUAGAGGUAAGUGGAAUUCCCAGUGUAGCGGUGAAAUGCGUAGAUAUUGGGAAGAACACCAGUGGCGUAGGCGACUUACUGGGCCGUAACUGACACUGAGGAACGAAAGCCAGGGGAGCGAAUGGG